UACGUAGGGUCCGAGCGUUGUCCGGAAUUACUGGGCGUAAAGAGCUCGUAGGUGGUUUGUCGCGUUGUUCGUGAAAACUCACAGCUUAACUGUGGGCGUGCGGGCGAUACGGGCAGACUGGAGUACUGCAGGGGAGACUGGAAUUCCUGGUGUAGCGGUGGAAUGCGCAGAUAUCGAGAGGAACACCUGCGGCGAAGGCGGGUAGCUGGGCCGACACUGACGCUGAGGCGCGAAAGCGUGGGGAGCGAACAGG
rnacentral:rRNA from 1 species